rnacentral:rRNA from 1 species
GACGAACGCUGGCGGCGUGCCUAAUACAUGCAAGUAGAACGCUGAAGGAGGAGCUUGCUUCUCUGGAUGAGUUGCGAACGGGUGAGUAACGCGUAGGUAACCUGCCUGGUAGCGGGGGAUAACUAUUGGAAACGAUAGCUAAUACCGCAUAAUAUUGACUAUUGCAUGAUAGUCAGUUGAAAGGUGCAACUGCACCACUACCAGAUGGACCUGCGUUGUAUUAGCUAGUUGGUGGGGUAACGGCUCACCAAGGCGACGAUACAUAGCCGACCUGAGAGGGGGAUCGGCCACACUGGGACGGGGACACGGCCCAGACUCCUACGGGAGGCAGCAGUAGGGAAUCUUCGGCAAUGGACGGAAGUCUGACCGAGCAACGCCGCGUGAGUGAAGAAGGUUUUCGGAUCGUAAAGCUCUGUUGUAAGAGAAGAACGAGUGUGAGAGUGGAAAGCUCACACUGUGACGGUAUCUUACCAGAAAGGGACGGCUAACUACGUG